CUGACCUCGUGAUCCGCCUGCCUCGGCCUCCCAAAGUGCUGGGAUUACAGGCGUGAGCCACCGCGCCCGGCCGCUGCUUUAAGUUCUUAACACGUCCUCACCGCGGCUCAGCUCACUGUACGGCCCCUGCAUAGAGAGGGGAGGGCAGGGGCCAUGAUACUGAACUCACAGCUCUGGGCAUUUCUGAAGUCUGGCCCUUGAAGCUUUUCCUAGAGCAAAUUGUUUUCUUCUCCCCUUCAGGAAACUGAAAAUUCACACAGCAGCCGUGGGAGUCAGAGUAGCAAAGGCUUUGAGAUCACAUAGACCUGGGACACGUGCUUGCUUUGUGAUUACGGGUGCGGGGACUGCUUGCCAACCCAUGGCAACUCACCUGUAGCGCAUGGAGAUUUGGGGGUAAACCCAGUGAUGCUGAGUAUGUGGGCUGCCCAAGCUGGGUGGCAACCAACCCCAGCAUUGAAUGUGCUGAGAGCUGGACCGGUGGAUGUCCCCACUGCCCUGAGGCAGGUCCAGGAGAAGGCUCCUACCUGCUGUGCAGAGGGCAAGCUCAUGGCUGUCAGAGGCUCCUAACUGCACCCACCCCCGAUCAGCCAAAGCCAAUUACUCCACGUCCAAGACACAGGCGUGUUAAAAUGUAAACGGCCAUUCAUCAUCUGGCAGCGUGACCGUUUGCCCCUAUCAGGCCCCAGUCCGGCCUCACCACGCCUCCAUGCUCUCCUCAGCGUCAAAGAAACAGCCUUGUCCUGCCAGGGCCUUCGCCAGGCCCGGCCUGGGAAGUCAGGGCUCUCUGACCCAAUGGAGCGAAUCGUUGCGAGCAUUUAUUUAAUAGCAUUAUCUUGAUGAUGAAUAAAUCACACCUUCAUGAACCA
rnacentral:lncRNA from 1 species